rnacentral:lncRNA from 1 species
CUGAGGCUUUGUAUUCCUCUCAGUUGCUUAUAAGUAACCCCUACUGACUCCAGUACUGUCCUAAUAUAACCUGAGUCACUGCAGCAUUUUCCAUAGCAGAGGCUUGGUCCUGUGCUCUCUUCAAGGGUAUCUACUUUCACAGAAUUAAGGUAUAGAGGAAGGGCUCUCAGCUGGCAUCAAGGCCCUGAGAGGUGGGUGAUUACAUCAACCAUUUCAGGAUGUGGUGGAACAAGCAGUAAGAUUGUGUUCCAUUAACUCAAGAAUGGAAACCACUGGAACUAGGACUGCUCUGAGUCUCCAUUUUCAGCUUCAUCACCAUCUCAGGCAGCCAUAUUUACGAUCUUGCUUUUGUUCUAUGUGAAAAAAUUCAGACAGUAGCUCAGAGUUGAGCAGGGACAUUUCAUAACCUUCCGUGCUUUGGCAGGGCGGGAAAACUCUUCCCACACUGGAUCUGUGUGGGACUGUUAUAUUUUCAACUGCAGUUCUAUUCAGCGUCCUGCCACAGCGUGAUGCCCGGUGUGAGGCAUUACAGCGGCACAGCAGGCCUCCUCACAGAGUGCCCUAUGGCCAGAGAGCGGGAGCUUACAACCAAAAUAACUGCAGAACAUCACAUAGAUUCUGCACGAACAGCUCCUUCUGACUUCUCUUCUACGUGCGGCAAAACGAUCAAGAAAAUAUCUAGGAUUAGUCCCGCGUUUUCAGGAAGGAGCCUUUUGCAAGAGGAGCUGUUUCUCUGCAGUGCUGCCACUAGAGGCACAGAAACCUCUGCAUUCAUGUAGGAUGACCACACAUAUGAUAUCACCAGGUAACUUGGUUCUGGGCAUUUAUACGCAAAGGAUGAGUCAGUCAAGUCUAAUGACCAAGCCACAGACAUUACCCCUGUUACAGGAAGGACUUUAUUCCUGCUGCAUGCAAUUUAUGGUAUAUUUUUUCAAUUUUCACUGU